rnacentral:rRNA from 7 species
AAAACGACUCUCGGCAACGGAUAUCUCGGCUCUCGCAUCGAUGAAGAACGUAGCGAAAUGCGAUACUUGGUGUGAAUUGCAGAAUCCCGUGAACCAUCAAGUCUUUGAACGCAAGUUGCGCCCGAAGCCUUUAGGCCGAGGGCACGUCUGCCUGGGCGUCACA